GCAUUAUCCAUGGAUGUGGGAAGUUUGUCUCCUUGAGUAAACCACUGAAACUGCUUCCCUGACAGAUAUACCGAAACCUCUACUUCAGGCGAAAAUGGAUCUCAGCAAUCAGCCGGACCAUUCCCAGUUAUCAGGGUAAGAAAUCAUUGCCUGCAUUUCCACUGAGACAGUUCUGCUGUCAGCAGACUCCAGUUCUUCUGGUCUCCUCCUCCCCUCCUUUUUCACAGAUUAGCUUCUCACUGAAAUGGAAAAUUGUCUUCAGACGAUGUUGGCAGAGGAAUCCUUAUAAGGAGUUUCAGCAAGUUGUGGCCUCAUUUAAGAGCACAGAUGGAAAGGGGGCACUGGAGGGCCAGCAUCCCUCCCUGGGGAGAAGGAGAGAGGAUGACACGUGUCAGCUCGCUGAGGUAAAGCAGGAACCCGUAUUUGUUUCAAACACCUUCUUUAAACAAUCAAGAAGAUCCUGUGUGGGGACUCCCUCAAGGAAGCCAAAUCCUGAGGACUUUGCGCUCUACCUCC
rnacentral:lncRNA from 1 species